rnacentral:rRNA from 1 species
UACGUAGGGUGCAAGCGUUGUCCGGAAUUAUUGGGCGUAAAGAGCUCGUAGGCGGUCUGUCGCGUCUGCUGUGAAACUCGGGGCUCAACUCCGAGCUUGCAGUCGAUACGGGCAGACUAGAGUGUGGUAGGGGAGACUGGAAUUCCUGGUGUAGCGGUGAAAUGCGCAGAUAUCAGGAGGAACACCGGCGGCGAAGGCGGGUCUCUGGGCCAUAACUGACGCUGAGGAGCGAAAGCGUGGGGAGCGAACAGG